CUAGCUGGUCUGAGAGGAUGAUCAGCCACACUGGAACUGAGACACGGUCCAGACUCCUACGGGAGGCAGCAGUGGGGAAUAUUGCACAAUGGGCGCAAGCCUGAUGCAGCCAUGCCGCGUGUGUGAAGAAGGCCUUCGGGUUGUAAAGCACUUUCAGUCGUGAGGAAGGCAGUACAGUUAAUAGCUGUAUUGUUUGACGUUAGCGACAGAAGAAGCACCGGCUAACUCCGUGCCAGCAGCCGCGGUAAUACGGAGGGUGCGAGCGUUAAUCGGAAUUACUGGGCGUAAAGCGCAUGCAGGUGGUUUGUUAAGUCAGAUGUGAAAGCCCGGGGCUCAACCUCGGAAUAGCAUUUGAAACUGGCAGACUAGAGUACUGUAGAGGGGGGUAGAAUUUCAGGUGUAGCGGUGACAUGCGUAGAGAUCUGAAGGAAUACCGGUGGCGAAGGCGGCCCCCUGGACAGAUACUGACACUCAGAUGCGAAAGCGUGGGGAGCCAACAGGAUUAGAUACCCUGGUAGUCCACGCCGUAAACGAUGUCUACUUGGAGGUUGUGGCCUUGAGCCGUGGCUUUCGGAGCUAACGCGUUAAGUAGACCGCCUGGGGAGUACGGUCGCAAGAUUAAAACUCAAAUGAAUUGACGGGGGCCCGCACAAGCGGUGGAGCAUGUGGUUUAAUUCGAUGCAACGCGAAGAACCUUACCUACUCUUGACAUCCAGAGAAGCCAGCGGAGACGCAGGUGUGCCUUCGGGAGCUCUGAGACAGGUGCUGCAUGGCUGUCGUCAGCUCGUGUUGUGAAAUGUUGGGUUAAGUCCCGCAACGAGCGCAACCCUUAUCCUUGUUUGCCAGCGAGUAAUGUCGGGAACUCCAGGGAGACUGCCGGUGAUAAACCGGAGGAAGGUGGGGACGACGUCAAGUCAUCAUGGCCCUUACGAGUAGGGCUACACACGUGCUACAAUGGCGCAUACAGAGGGCAGCCAACUUGCGAAAGUGAGCGAAUCCCAAAAAGUGCGUCGUAGUCCGGAUUGGAGUCUGCAACUCGACUCCAUGAAGUCGGAAUCGCUAGUAAUCGUGGAUCAGAAUGCCACGGUGAAUACGUUCCCGGGCCUUGUACACACCGCCCGUCACACCAUGGGAGUGGGCUGCA
rnacentral:rRNA from 1 species